rnacentral:rRNA from 1 species
GAUGAACGCUGGCGGCGUGCCUAAUACAUGCAAGUCGAGCGAACAGACGAGGAGCUUGCUCCUCUGACGUUAGCGGCGGACGGGUGAGUAACACGUGGAUAACCUACCUAUAAGACUGGGAUAACUUCGGGAAACCGGAGCUAAUACCGGAUAAUAUAUUGAACCGCAUGGUUCAAUAGUGAAAGACGGUUUUGCUGUCACUUAUAGAUGGAUCCGCGCCGCAUUAGCUAGUUGGUAAGGUAACGGCUUACCAAGGCAACGAUGCGUAGCCGACCUGAGAGGGUGAUCGGCCACAUUGGAACGGAGACACGGUCCAGACUCCUACGGGAGGCAGCAGUAGGGAAUCUUCCGCAACGGGCGAAAGCCUGACGGAGCAACGCCGCGUGAGUGAUGAAGGUCUUCGGAUCGUAAAACUCUGUUAUUAGGGAAGAACAAAUGUGUAAGUAACUAUGCACGUCUUGACGGUACCUAAUCAGAAAGCCACGGCUAACUACGUG